GCAGCCUCCAGACAGAGGGAGAUGCUGCUGGAGGAUGUGGGCAGCGAGGAGGAGGAGCAGGAGGAUGAUGAGGCACAGUUCCAGGAGACAGAUUCAGGAAGUGAUGAAGACUUCCUCAUGGAAGACGAUGAUGACAGUGACUAUGGCAGCUCAAAAAAGAAAAACAAGAAAGUCUCCAAGAAAUCCAAGCCCGAGAGGAAAGAAAGAAAAUGCCCAAGCCCAGGCUAAAGGCCACAGUGACCCCCAGCCCAGUGAAAGGCAAAGGGAAGGCAGGUCGCCCCACAGCUUCCAAGGCCACGAAAGAAAAAACCCCAUCCCCAAAAGAAGAGGAUGAAGAACCUGAAAGUCCCCCAGAAAAGAAAAAAUCAGCCAGCCCUCCACCAGAAAAAUCAGGGGAUGAGGGCUCUGAAGAUGAAGCGCCCUCUGGUGAAGA